AUAAAAAAUAUUAAAAAUCAUUUUUAGAAACUAGAAAUUAAAAGAAAAAUAAUGCAAUUGGUCCCAUAAUUUUUGGACCAAUAAUGAGAGAGAUGUGAAUUUUAGAAAUAAAAUGGAAUUAAAAGAAAUAAAAGGAAAUAAAAUCAGAAAUUAGAAAUUAUGGAAAAUCCACACACGUUGGAUCCAAGCUCAUUAAUUGAGCUGGAGCAUCAGACGGCUGUGGCAUGCGCGCGCAUCAUGAUCCUCAGUCAACUGAAUAACA
rnacentral:lncRNA from 1 species